AUGAACGCUAGCGAUAGGCUUAACCCAUGCAAGUCGAGGGGCAGCAUGGUCUUAGCUUGCUAAGACUGAUGGCGACCGGCGCACGGGUGCGUAACGCGUAUGCAACUUGCCUCACAGAGGGGGAUAACCCGUCGAAAGACGGACUAAUACCGCGUACACUUGGGAUAGGGCAUCCUGACCCAAGGAAAUGAAAUUCGCUGUGAGAUAGGCAUGCGUCCCAUUAGCUAGUUGGUGAGGUAACGGCUCACCAAGGCGACGAUGGGUAGGGGAACUGAGAGGUUGAACCCCCACACUGGUACUGAGACACGGACCAGACUCCUACGGGAGGCAGCAGUGAGGAAUAUUGGUCAAUGGGCGAGAGCCUGAACCAGCCAAGUCGCGUGAAGGAUGACUGUCUUAUGGAUUGUAAACUUCUUUUAUACGGGAAUAACAAGAGCCACGUGUGGCUCCCUGCAUGUACCGUAUGAAUAAGCAUCGGCUAACUCCGUG
rnacentral:rRNA from 1 species